ACUUAGAUUCUGCAUGGGCAUGCGUGC
rnacentral:piRNA from 1 species